rnacentral:tRNA from 1 species
GUUUUAAUAGUUUAACAAAAACAAUGGUCUUGUAAAUCAUAAAUAAGAAUAUUCUUUUAAAACU